GUCCUCUUCGUCUAGUGGUUAGGACGUCGCUUUUUCAUGGCGGGAACACGGGUUCGAUCCCCGUAGAGGAUA
rnacentral:tRNA from 1 species